GCUUGCUCUCGGGUGACGAGCGGCGGACGGGUGAGUAAUGUCUGGGAAACUGCCUGAUGGAGGGGGAUAACUACUGGAAACGGUAGCUAAUACCGCAUAACGUCGCAAGACCAAAGUGGGGGACCUUCGGGCCUCAUGCCAUCAGAUGUGCCCAGAUGGGAUUAGCUAGUAGGUGGGGUAAUGGCUCACCUAGGCGACGAUCCCUAGCUGGUCUGAGAGGAUGACCAGCCACACUGGAACUGAGACACGGUCCAGACUCCUACGGGAGGCAGCAGUGGGGAAUAUUGCACAAUGGGCGCAAGCCUGAUGCAGCCAUGCCGCGUGUAUGAAGAAGGCCUUCGGGUUGUAAAGUACUUUCAGCGAGGAGGAAGGCGUUAAGGUUAAUAACCUUGGCGAUUGACGUUACUCGCAGAAGAAGCACCGGCUAACUCCGUGCCAGCAGCCGCGGUAAUACGGAGGGUGCAAGCGUUAAUCGGAAUUACUGGGCGUAAAGCGCACGCAGGCGGUCUGUCAAGUCGGAUGUGAAAUCCCCGGGCUCAACCUGGGAACUGCAUUCGAAACUGGCAGGCUAGAGUCUUGUAGAGGGGGGUAGAAUUCCAGGUGUAGCGGUGAAAUGCGUAGAGAUCUGGGAGGAAUACCGGUGGCGAAGGCGGCCCCCUGGACAAAGACUGACGCUCAGUGCGAAGCGUGGGGAGCAAAC
rnacentral:rRNA from 1 species